AGGUGGUGUGGCGCGAGGAGGCGCGGCUGCGGGGGCUGCCCCGGCUGUUCGACCCGCCCACCGCCUG
rnacentral:tRNA from 1 species